GAUGAACGCUAGCGGCAGGCCUAACACAUGCAAGUCGAGGGAGAAGCCCUUUCGGGGGCAGAAACCGGCGCACGGGUGCGUAACGCGUAUGCAACCUACCUUUCACAGGGGGAUAGCCCGAAGAAAUUUGGAUUAAUACCCCAUAAUAUUAUUGGAUGGCAUCAUUUGAUAAUUAAAAAUGCGGUGGUGAAAGAUGGGCAUGCGUCCUAUUAGCUAGUUGGAGUGGUAACGGCACCCCAAGGCUACGAUAGGUAGGGGUCCUGAGAGGGAGAUCCCCCACACUGGUACUGGGACAGGGACCAGACUCCUGCGGGAGGCAGCAGUGAGGAAUAUUGGGCAAUGGUCGGAAGACUGAACCAGCCAUGCCGCGUGCAGGAAGAAUGCCUUAUGGGUUGUAAACUGCUUUUAUAUGGGAAGAAUAAGGCGUACGUGUACGUUGAUGACGGUACCAUAUGAAUAAGCAUCGGCUAACUCCGUG
rnacentral:rRNA from 1 species